UACGUAGGCAGCGAGCGUUGUUCGGAGUUACUGGGCGUAAAGGGUGUGUAGGCGGUUGUUUAAGUUUGGUGUGAAAUCUCCCGGCUCAACUGGGAGGGUGCGCCGAAUACUGAAUGACUUGGAGUGCGGGAGAGGAGAGUGGAAUUCCUGGUGUAGCGGUGAAAUGCGUAGAUAUCGGGAGGAACACCUGUGGCGAAAGCGGCGCACUGGACCACAACUGACGCUGAGGCGCGAAAGCUAGGGGAGCAAACAGG
rnacentral:rRNA from 1 species